AGAGUUGAUCCUGGCUUAGGAUGAACGCUAGCGGCAGGCCUAAUACAUGCAAGUCGAACGGUAAACGCCCCUCGGGGCGUGAGAGUGGCGGACGGGUGCGUAACGCGUAUGCAACAACCCCCCUCACCGGGAUAGCCGGUGGAAACGCCGGAUAAGACCGGAUGCGCCGCGUGGGAGGCAUCUCCCGAGCGGCAAGGCGGCGACGCGGAGGGGACGGGCAUGCGUGCCAUUAGCUUGUUGGCGGGGCGACGGCCCACCAAGGCUACGAUGGCUAGGGGAUCUGAGAGGACGGUCCCCCCACACUGGUACUGAGACACGGACCAGACUCCUGCGGGAGGCAGCAGUAAGGGAUAUUGGUCAGUGGGGGAAACCCUGAACCAGCCAUGCCGCGUGAGGGAAUGAGGCCCUACGGGUCGUGAACCUCUUUUGCCUGGGGACAACCCGCGCCACGGGAUGGCGCGUUGAGGGUACCAGGCGAAUAAGCAUCGGCUAACUCCGUGCCAGCCGCCGC
rnacentral:rRNA from 1 species